rnacentral:lncRNA from 1 species
CCCCGCGCCGGAGCCGGAGGGGAUGCGGGCCCACGGGGACCCCCGCGCAGAAACUUACCCGACGGGGACACAGGAGGGCAGGAGAGCCCGAAGGACUGGCGAUGCCGACCCUGAGGCUGGCAUCCGUGACGCACCACAUCGGGUCAUCUGGGUAUCCGGGGUUUCCAGGGCACCAACGGACGGGUUUCCGGACUGCUGCCUGGACUCUGAUUUCGUAAUGAACUCGGGCUCCUGUGCUGCUGAGCUCCUUGCCAAGGGGACGGGGGAUGCUGGGAAACCAUGGCACACGGUGGCAUCGUGAUCAGGACACAUAGAUGACUGUGAUGGAAAGCUGCCCUGAAGGACCCCGAGGCUGCGGUCCCACACUGUCGUGGCAGUAAAGGUGAUUAUGAGGAUGGUGGCAUGAACGG